rnacentral:rRNA from 1 species
GGUAUUGAAAUAAGAUUUUAAUUGAAUGCUAAGAGAAUGGAAGUCCAGAAAAAAACUUUUUUUAAAUUAAAAAUUGAAGUUUUUUUAAUUUGUGCAGAAACAAUUAUUUAUAUUAAAGACAAGAAGACCCUAUGAAUUUAUUAAAUUUUUAUUUAAUAUGUAAUUACUAUUAGAAAAAUUUUGGCUGGGGCGGCUAGAAAAUAUUAUGAACUUUUUAAAAAUAAAAUGAUCCAUUAUUAAUGAUUUUAUGUUAAAUACUCUAGGGAUAACAGCGUUAUAUUUUUUGAUAGAUCAUAUUGACAAAAAAGUUUGCGACCUCGAUGUUGGAUUAGGAUACUUUUUUAAUGAAGAUAUAAAAAAAGAAGUUGUC